rnacentral:lncRNA from 1 species
CCAGCAUGUAGUGUGCUGCCAAAUGAGCUUGCUGCAAAGAGAAGCAUAUGGAAAGCCUUGUGAAAACAGAGGGAAUAUUCUCAAGACCGCAGUUUUAACAACUGUACUAACACUCUGUUUCUGCUCUCAAAAUAUUCAGAAUAGAAAAGAGGGGGAGGGAGCUGGGAUUGAGCUGUUGAAGUGAAGGAGGAGUCUACAGAGAGGUAAUUUCCAUUUUUAUUUACACUUUUAUCCUGUACGAAAAAUAUCAGGAUUGUGCAGUAAAGAAACAUUUGUGUCACAGAUUUCUUUUUAUGAUGUGGAUUUCUGCCUAAGAUAAUUCUUACUGCCUGUAUUCCUUUUGCAGCAUGACUGCUCUAAAAUUUAACUUUGAAAGCAUGGUUGGCAUUAAAAUACAUA